rnacentral:rRNA from 1 species
GUUAGGAAUAUUGGACAAUGGGCGAAAGCCUGAUCCAGCCAUGCCGCGUGAACGAUGAAGGCCUUCGGGUUGUAAAGUUCUUUAGCCGAUGAUUAUAAUGACUGUAGUCGGAAAAUAAGCCCCGGCUAACUUCGUGCCAGCAGCCGCGGUAAUACGAAGGGGGCGAGCGUUAUUCGGAAUCACUGGGCGUAAAGCGUGCGUAGGCGGUUUUGUAAGUUAGGAGUGAAAGCCCAGGGCGCAACCUUGGAAUUGCUCUUAAAACUGCAAGGCUCGAAUCUCGGAGAGGAUAGCGGAAUUUCCAGUGUAGCAGUGAAAUGCGUAGAUAUUGGAAGGAACACCAGUGGCGUAAGCGGCUAUCUGGACGAGUAUUGACGCUGAGGCACGAAAGCGUGGGGAUCAAACAGGAUUAGAAACCCUUGUAGUCC